AAAAGCUCGUAGUUGGAUCUCAGCUCUGGCCGGACGGUCCACCUACCGGUGGUUACUGUUCGCUGCCGAGCGUUACGCAGGCGCUGUCUGAUGAUCUUUACCGGUUGUCCGGCGGUGCCUACACGUUUACUUUGAAAAAAUUAGAGUGCUCAACGCAGGCGUGACGCCUGAAUAAUUGUGCAUGGAAUAAUGGAAUAGGACCUCGGUUCUAUUUUGUUGGUUUUCGGAACACGAGGUAAUGAUUAAGAGGGACAGACGGGGGCAUUCGUAUUGCGACGCUAGAGGUGAAAUUCUUGGACCGUCGCAAGACGAACUACUGCGAAAGCAUUUGCCAAGAAUGUUUCCAUUAAUCAAGAACGAAAGUUAGAGGUUCGAAGGCGAUCAGAUACCGCCCUAGUUCUAACCAUAAACGAUGCCAGCCAGCGAUCCGGCUGUGUUCCUCAAAUGACACGCCGGGCAGCUUCCGGGAAACCAAAGCUUUUGGGUUCCGGGGGAAGUAUGGUUGCAAAGCUGAAACUUAAAGGAAUUGACGGAAGGGCACCACCAGAAAUGGAGCCUGCGGCUUAAUUUGACUCAACACGGGAAAACUUACCCGGCCCGGACACAGGAAGGAUUGACAGAUUAAGAGCUCUUUCUUGAUUCUGUGGGUGGUGGUGCAUGGCCGUUCUUAGUUGGUGGGGCGACUUGUCUGGUUAAUUCCGAUAACGAACGAGACUCUAGCCUACUAAAUAGACGCUCCGGUCCUCUUUUGCCGGACGUUCUUCUUAGAGGGACAAGCGGCGUUUAGCCGCACGAGACAGAGCAAUAACAGGUCUGGGAUGCCCUUAGAUGUCCGGGGCCGCACGCGCGCUACAUUGAAGGAAUCAGCGUGUGCUUUCCCUGUCCGAAAGGACUGGGUAACCCGUUGAACCUCCUUCGUGCUGGGGAUUGGCGAAUGUAAUUCACGCCAUGAACGAGGAAUUCCCAGUAAGCACGAGUCAUCAGCUCGUGUUGAUUACGUCCCUGCCCUUUGUACACACCGCCCGUCGCUACUACCGAUUGAAUGAUUUAGUGAGGUCUUCGGACUGGCGCUCGGAUUGGCCUUCGCGGUCGAGCCGGUGUGCCGGAAAGAUGACCAAACUUGAUCAUUUAGAGGAAGUAAAAGUCGUAACAAGGUUUU
rnacentral:rRNA from 1 species